rnacentral:rRNA from 1 species
AUUGAACGCUGGCGGCAUGCUUUACACAUGCAAGUCGAACGGUAACAGCACUUCGGUGGCUGACGAGUGGCGCACGGGUGAGUAAUACAUCGGAACGUGCCUAGUAGUGGGGGAUAACUACUCGAAAGAGUAGCUAAUACCGCAUGAGAUCUAAGGAUGAAAGCAGGGGACCUUCGGGCCUUGCGCUACUAGAGCGGCUGAUGGCAGAUUAGGUAGUUGGUGGGAUAAAAGCUUACCAAGCCGACGAUCUGUAGCUGGUCUGAGAGGACGACCAGCCACACUGGGACUGAGACACGGCCCAGACUCCUAAGGGAGGCAGCAGUGGGGAAUUUUGGACAAUGGGCGCAAGCCUGAUCCAGCAAUGCCGCGUGCAGGAUGAAGGCCUUCGGGUUGUAAACUGCUUUUGUACGGAACGAAAAGCCCUCUUCUAAUACAGGAGGGUCAUGACGGUACCGUAAGAAUAAGCACCGGCUAACUACGUG